AGUCUGUACUGAGUGCCCCCAUGUACAUGCCACCAGAUCGGAGGAACGAGCCAAGACCGGGCUACAGCGACUAUUACGACGACAUCAAAAGAAGCAGGAGGGUUGAUAAUGAUAACUACUCCGAUCCAGGCAAACACAAAUAUGUGAGUACAUGGGUGACAAGAAGUUCCAUGGGCGAAGCCAACGAAUACGACAAAGCGCUGGUUCAUAGCAGGAGGGACCCAUUUCUUUGGCGAAAUG